rnacentral:rRNA from 1 species
UACGUAGGUGGCGAGCGUUGUCCGGAUUUACUGGGCGUAAAGAGCGCGCAGGCGGUCGUUCAAGUCGCGUGUGAAAGCCCCCGGCUCAACUGGGGAGGGUCACGCGAUACUGAUCGACUCGAAGGCAGGAGAGGGUAGUGGAAUUCCCGGUGUAGUGGUGAAAUGCGUAGAUAUCGGGAGGAAUACCUAUGGCGAAAGCAGGCUACUGGACCGUCACUGACUCUGAUCUGCGAAAGCUAGGGGAGCAAACAGG